UCAGGAUGAACGCUAGCUACAGGCUAACACAUGCAAGUCGAGGGGCAGCAUGAAGUUUGCUUGCAAACUUGAUGGCGACCGGCGCACGGGUGAGUAACGCGUAUCCAACCUUCCCUUAGUAGGGCAUAGCCCGAUGAAAAUCGGAUUAAUACCCUAUGUUGUCUUAUGAGGACAUCUGAGCAGGACCAAAGGUUUACCGCUAAGGGAUGGGGAUGCGUCCGAUUAGGUAGUCGGCGGGGUAACGGCCCACCGAGCCAUCGAUCGGUAGGGGUUCUGAGAGGAAGGUCCCCCACAUUGGAACUGAGACACGGUCCAAACUCCUACGGGAGGCAGCAGUGAGGAAUAUUGGUCAAUGGGCGAGAGCCUGAACCAGCCAAGUAGCGUGCAAGGAUGACGGCCCUAUGGGUUGUAAACUGCUUUUAUGCGGGGAUAAAGUGCGCCACGUGUGGCGUUUUGUAGGUACCGCAUGAAUAAGGACCGGCUAAUUCCGUGCCAGCCGCAGC
rnacentral:rRNA from 1 species